rnacentral:rRNA from 1 species
UACGUAGGGUGCGAGCGUUGUCCGGAAUUAUUGGGCGUAAAGCGUGCGCAGGCGGUGAUGUAAGACAGGGGUGAAAUCCCCGGGCUUAACCUGGGAACUGCAUUUGUGACUGCAUCGCUGGAGUGCGGCAGAGGGGGAUGGAAUUCCGCGUGUAGCAGUGAAAUGCGUAGAUAUGCGGAGGAACACCGAUGGCGAAGGCAAUCCCCUGGGCCUGCACUGACGCUCAUGCACGAAAGCGUGGGGAGCAAACAGG